AUGGACAAGGAUGAUAAUUCUAAUGCCAAUAAGAUAUGGAACUUUGGGGGGCCAACAUACAUUUGCCAACACAGCCAUGCACUUAUGUCGUAUGCAGAAAGAAUACAAUCUUCCAGAACAAGACAACCAUCCUUUGCACAAUGCUGCAAACAAGGGAAGAUUAUCUUGCCACCAUUUAAAGAACCGCCGUCUUACCUUACAAGUUUAUUGACAAGGGGUGGAGGAAAAAUAUCAGCAAACUACCGAAAGAACAUUAGGUCUUACAAUUCCAUGUUUGCGUUCACAUCAAUGGGGGGGACUUUGGAUAAGAAAAUAAACAAAGGGCGUGGACCUUAUGUUUUCCAACUGAAUGGCCAGAACCGCCACCAGAUAGGAACCCUGCUACCCGAAGAAGGAAAUAGGCCUCGUUUCCAGCAGUUGUAUAUCUGUGACACAGAUAAUGAGAUCCAAAAUAGGGUAGAAGCAUCAAAAUCUGGUGAACGUGAUGCCUCACUAAAGCAAACAAUUGUCAGUGGCCUACUAAGCAUGCUCGACGAGAAUAACACAUUAGCACAAUCAUUCGGAAUGGCAAGAGAUAGAUUUAAAGAAGAUGACUACAACAACUUCACUCUGCGUUUACUUGGCAGCAGGGAUCAAGAUGGGAGGCAAGAUAACAUGCCAUCAAUAUCAGAAGUUGCUGCACUGAUAGUCAAAGAUCCAACCCAAAAACAUUACGGACGUGACAUUGUUCUCGAGUACAAAGAUAUGAAACCUAAAAGGAUAUCAGAAAUCCAUCCAAAAUUCAUGGCCAUGCAAUACCCGUUGCUCUUCCCAUACGGGGAAGAUGGUUAUAGACUUGGAAUCAAGUAA
rnacentral:rRNA from 1 species